UCACACAGUCAUAGAAUCAGGUCUAAAAAUAAGGAACACUUCUAUGAUCCUGACACGUGCAAAGGAUAUCUGAAUUAUCGCCUGAAGACGGUAACAAGGAAGACCUCAUAUCGACCCAUCAAGAAGAGUAUUUCACCCCAGUCGGGAGGCCCAACCUAUAGAAGGAAGACUGACCUGGACCACCAUCUUGUUGGUGAUGCUUGCAAAGAGGCCAUAUCAUUUCUUGUACCCUUGGCCGAUGAAAAACAAAUCUAUCAGAAGAUGAAGGAAGUGUUCCAGUAUCGCCAGGAACUAGUUUAUAGUCCAGACAGAAGCACAGAUGUCCUCAGUCUUUCCCAGGUUUCUGGUCAUCAAAGGAUUGGUGAAUCAGGACCUUUUGCUGAUGUUCGACAAUUAAACAUCCUGUAAGCUCCUUGAAAAGUGGGACACUGUAUUGAAGCCCAAAGUCAUCAAACUGACAAAAUCCCUAACUACGACCAUCAAUUUGCGUCGCCUCCUGAAGUCUGCAGAAAAACUGCCAGAGAAUGACAGGGAAACCAACUGGAACAAGGAUAUGUCCUCUCUGCUGCUGCUUCAUCUCCUCCCACCACCAGCAGGAGGGAAGAGGACCAAGCUCAGUGCCAGUGAUGCUGUGGGCAGACUAGUGCACUUUCAUAAGUUAUGUUAGGUUCAUAAGUUAAGAUGAUACAGUAAUUGGCGUGUAAUUAAUUUUUGGGGUUGUGUCUUUGUCUUAACAUGUGGAGAGUGACCUAAAAAAAAGACUUUGUGUUGCAGUCAUGCUGCAGCAUUGUAGACCAUCUUGAUGGGAGCCAUGGUCGACAGCCAUUACAGUGAGGAGGACCCUAAGAUUGUCUUGCGUGAUAAAGAUCAAUUUGAAAUGCAUUUGAAUCAGUUGCAAUCAGACCCACAGCUCCCAUCUGUGUAUGGUGUAAAAAAUUCUAAACUAAACAGUUUGCAGCACUUCCAUGUUUGAAAUAAUAAUUAAAAUAAUAGUUUACAUAAUGCAUGAUAUUCUUGAAGGGGUGGCUCUGUUUGAGUUAAAAUUGUUUGAAUAUGUCUCUGAAAAUGUCAUUUUGAAACGUGCGCUUCUCUCUAGAAUCUACUCGUUUGACUAUGGGUACUUGGAGCGCAAAAAACGUCCAACUAAAGUCAACCUAGGGAACAGUGGAAAUAGCCUUGCACUUAAUUCUAUUCAAACUCUAUCUUGUGAGAAACGUUCCCUUGAUUUUGGUGAUGUUGCUCCAGCAGGAAAUGAGAACUGGAAUUUGCUGCUCAUCCUACUGCAAAUAAUCAUCGUUUUUUCCUCUUACCUUAGCCAAGGCAUGACUGUGAAUCUAAAUCAUUUGAUAAUUGAACAUCGCCCACUUUUUAAACAGUUGUACUUACAUAAAAACGUGUUACCUAAACAACACUUUCUGAUACAUUACCCAGCAUGCAUAAGACAAAUCUGUCCUUCAUUAAAUAUGUGGAUCAUGAGGUUUGAGGCAAAGCACAAACUCUUUAAGAACACCCUCAAACUUCAAAAACAUUACUAAGUCCCUUGCCAAAAAACACCAAUUUGCUAUAGACCAUCACUGGGAGACAUCACCAUUGCGACAUACUGAAUAUGGACCGAUGAAAGCAUUUUCCCUGAGUGAUUUUACUGGUGGUGAUGAGUUGUCAGCGUCACUUCAGGUCACUAUGCAGUAAGCCAUUUACUCUACCAGCUGGAAUAAGAUGGAUGGCAUGGAGUACAGAGAGGGAC